AUGUCCUGAUAGUAUAAACAUUACGCUGGUCUUGUAAACCAGUAAUGAAAAGCUUUUUUUCUCAGGAUA
rnacentral:tRNA from 1 species